rnacentral:rRNA from 1 species
CACGUAGGCACCAAGCGUUAUCCGGAUUUAUUGGGCGUAAAAGAGCUCGUAGGCGGUUCGGUAAGUCGGGUGUGAAAACUCUGGGGCUCAACCCAGAGAGGCCACCCGAUACUGCUGUGACUAGAGGUGCGGUAGGGAGCGGGAAUUUCCUGGGUGUAGGCGGUGAAAUGCGCAGAUAUCAGGAGGAACACCAGCGGCGAAGGCGCCGCUCUGGCCGUAACUGACGCUGAGGAGCGAAGCAUGGGUAGCAAACAGG